rnacentral:lncRNA from 1 species
CUAUUAUGUAUCAUCUCUGUAUGCAUGUAGUCUGUACCUAUAAUCUAUCUAUUUGUCAGUGAGUCUAAUAAUACAGAUGUCUCUCCCACAUUAAAUAGCUUUCCAGAAAUCUGGUAGUAUCUGUGGGAUAAAGAUUGCCCUUGAAAGACUUCUAUUGGUAUCUUUCUGAGAUUUUCGCAUUAUUUUGCAGCUUCCAGGGUGUGGGCAGGAAGAUUUUCCUGAAUCCUUAUCAAGGAUGACUUCUGGAGUUUUCCUAAGAGGAGGACUCUCUUUGAAGUGGUGAACAGAAUCCGAGCUCAAAGUGAUUCUUCUUUGAAGAGACACGAGCCUGGGAGGUAGAGUGACCUGCCCUGGGUCCCGUGGCUGCACCAAGAGGAGUCUGAAUGGAGAGCAUCUUUUCUGUUUCUCUGUUUGUGCUUCGGGUCCUACAUCCAGGGUAUCAACCACAGCUGCUCAAGGUUCUGCUUCUCCAAUUGCCACCAUUUACAUCAGGAGGAAAUGGAUCCUACAAAGAGAGGCGUAGACUCCAGCAUUUAUGGGGCAUUUACUGUGUGCCAAGCCCUGGCAUUGUUUUUAUGAGGAUGUCACCGAUUCUUAUGACAAACAUAUGGGGUAGGGGGUAUUUUUAUUCCUAUUUCAAAGAGCAUGAGACAGAAGCACAGCAAUGUAGUCGCAUGGCCAUUAUCACAAGGCUGGAAUGUGGUAGGGCUGGGGUUUGGACCUGUGAAGAUAAACUCUGGGGUCAGCCUCAUCUUUUUUACUUUAAUUUAUUUUUGGUCAUACAACACAGCAUGUGGGAUCUUAUAGUUCUCAGACCAGGGGUUGAACCUGUGCCCUCUGCAUCAGAACUGUGGAGUCUUAACCACUGGACCACCAGGGAAGUCCCAGCCUCACUUUCAUAGCCCAUUUAAUGCAGUAUUCUUGCUUCUUUUCUGAUGCUGGCCCUGUCAUGAUGGGGAGAAGCACAUAUUCUUUGAAAAUGAAAGCAGAAUUUACAUUUAUAUUAACUCUAAUUUCCUUCUCUGUAACUCAGCACAGAGAAUCUUUCUUCCAGGGUCUGUUUUCUUUCAGGAUGAAGCUGCUCAUCCUUCAUAAGCGUACAGAAGAAGUAACUAAUAUAAUAAUAUUACUAAUGAUUACCUCCUGGUUUUACAAGACCCUUUUCCAUAUAACUUAUCUCAAGAGACUUGGAUGCUCUAAAACAGAGAAAGAAUAAGAUUAGUUUCUAGGGAAGGAAAUUCUGUAACUGAACCCAGAUUAUAAUUUAAAAAUAAUAAAUCCAAAUGGAAUUAUCUCUGAAGCUAUCUU